UACGGAGGGUGCGAGCGUUGUCCGGAAUCACUGGGCGUAAAGAGCGCGCAGGCGGUCGUUCAAGUCGCGUGUGAAAGCCCCCGGCUCAACUGGGGAGGGUCACGCGAUACUGAUCGACUCGAAGGCAGGAGAGGGUAGUGGAAUUCCCGGUGUAGUGGUGAAAUGCGUAGAUAUCAGGAGGAACACCAAUUGCGAAGGCAGGCU
rnacentral:rRNA from 1 species